rnacentral:tRNA from 1 species
GUCCAGGGGCGGGAAUCGAACCCACAACGUUCCGCUUACCGGUAAGAUGCCAUGUCCACUAGGCUACCCUGGA